CCGAUGCCGAUUCCACUCCCAGCUGCCCCUCAUCCAAUCCUCACCGAUGCAUGAGCCGCAUCCUAGGAGGGAACUCAUGCUUGAAUCCAAACCUGAGCUCCAUCACAUCUGCCUUAGAUCCCACCCUGAUCAUCUCCCGGUAUCACCACUCCUCCACCAUCGGUGUGAAAUUAGGGCUGCGGUUCCCCUCAAUGAGCUCCAACAGAUGGGUGUUGGGCUCCUAUGGAUUGUCUCA
rnacentral:lncRNA from 1 species